rfam:Tupaia chinensis contig114323, whole genome shotgun sequence.
GUGCUUCAGCAGCACAUGUACUAAAAUUGGAAUGAUCCUAGGAAGAUUAGCAUGGCCCCUGCACCAGGAUGACAAGCAAAUGUCAUGAAGUGUCCCAUAUUUUU